rnacentral:rRNA from 1 species
UGGGGAAUUUUGGACAAUGGGCGCAAGCCUGAUCCAGCCAUGCCGCGUGCGGGAAGAAGGCCUUCGGGUUGUAAACCGCUUUUGUCAGGGAAGAAAUCUUCUGAGUUAAUACCUCGGGAGGAUGACGGUACCUGAAGAAUAAGCACCGGCUAACUACGUGCCAGCAGCCGCGGUAAUACGUAGGGUGCAAGCGUUAAUCGGAAUUACUGGGCGUAAAGCGUGCGCAGGCGGUUUUGUAAGACAGAGGUGAAAUCCCCGGGCUCAACCUGGGAACUGCCUUUGUGACUGCAAGGCUUGAGUGCGGCAGAGGGGGCAUGGAAUUCCGCGUGUAGCAGUGGAAAUUGCGUAGAUAUGCGGAGGAACACCGUGGCGAAGCAAUCCCCUGGGCCUGNANUGACGCUCAUGCACG